rnacentral:rRNA from 1 species
CAAUAGCGUAUAUUAAAGUUGUUGCAGUUAAAAAGCUCGUAGUUGGAUUUCUGGUAGGAGUGACCGUUCCGAACUUGAUUGUUCGUGUAUUGUGUUUUCUCCAGCCAUCCUUGUGGAGAACUUUUCUUGCAUUAAUUUGUAGGGAUUGGGACCCGCAUCGUUUACUGUGAAAAAAUUAGAGUGUUUAAAGCAGGCAAUCGCUUGAAUACAUUAGCAUGGAAUAAUAAGAUAGGACUUUGGUACUAUUUUGUUGGUUUGCAUACCAAAUUAAUGAUCAACAGGAACAGUUUGAGGAUAUUCGUAUGAACAUGUCAGAGGUGAAAUCCUUGGAUUUUGAUCAGACGAACUACUGCGAAAGCAUUUAUCAAGGAUGUUUUCAUUAA